rnacentral:rRNA from 1 species
AUUGAACGCUGGCGGCAUGCCUUACACAUGCAAGUCGAACGGUAACAGGUCUUCGGAUGCUGACGAGUGGCGAACGGGUGAGUAAUACAUCGGAACGUGCCUAGUAGUGGGGGAUAACUACUCGAAAGAGUGGCUAAUACCGCAUGAGAUCUACGGAUGAAAGCAGGGGAUCGCAAGACCUUGUGCUACUAGAUCGGCCGAUGUCAGAUUAGGUAGUUGGUGGGAUAAAAGCUUACCAAGCCGACGAUCUGUAGCUGGUCUGAGAGGACGAUCAGCGACACGGGGAAUGGGAAACGGCCCAGACUCCUGCGGGAGGCAGCAGUGGGGAAUGUUGGACAAUGGGCUGAAGCCUGAUCCAGCAAUGCCGCGUGCAGGAUGAAGGCCUUCAGGUUGUAAACUGCUUUUGUACGGAACGAAAAGCCCCGGGUUAAUACCCUGGGGUCAUGACGGUACCGUAAGAAUAAGCACCGGCUAACUACGUGCCAGCAGCCGCCGUAA